UACGUAGGGUGCGAGCGUUAAUCGGAAUUACUGGGCGUAAAGCGUGCGCAGGCGGUUUUGUAAGCCAGAUGUGAAAUCCCCGGGCUCAACCUGGGAAUGGCAUUUGGGACUGCAAGGCUUGAGUUUGGCAGAGGAGACUGGAAUUCAUGGUGUAGCAGUGAAAUGCGUAGAGAUCAUGAGGAAGACCGAGUGGCGAAGGCGGGUCGCUGGGCAGUUCCUGACACUGAGACACGAAAGCGUGGGUAGCAAACAGG
rnacentral:rRNA from 1 species